rnacentral:rRNA from 1 species
CAUGCAAGUCGAGCGGUAACAUUUCUAGCUUGCUAGAAGAUGACGAGCGGCGGACGGGUGAGUAAUGCUUGGGAACAUGCCUUGAGGUGGGGGACAACAGUUGGAAACGACUGCUAAUACCGCAUAAUGUCUACGGACCAAAGGGGGCUUCGGCUCUCGCCUUUAGAUUGGCCCAAGUGGGAUUAGCUAGUUGGUGAGGUAAUGGCUCACCAAGGCGACGAUCCCUAGCUGGUUUGAGAGGAUGAUCAGCCACACUGGGACUGAGACACGGCCCAGACUCCUACGGGAGGCAGCAGUGGGGAAUAUUGCACAAUGGGCGCAAGCCUGAUGCAGCCAUGCCGCGUGUGUGAAGAAGGCCUUCGGGUUGUAAAGCACUUUCAGUCAGGAGGAAAGGUUAGUAGUUAAUACCUGCUAGCUGUGACGUUACUGACAGAAGAAGCACCGGCUAACUCCGUGCCAGCAGCCGCGGUAAUACGGAGGGUGCGAGCGUUAAUCGGAAUUACUGGGCGUAAAGCGUACGCAGGCGGUUUGUUAAGCGAGAUGUGAAAGCCCCGGGCUCAACCUGGGAACUGCAUUUCGAACUGGCAAACUAGAGUGUGAUAGAGGGUGGUAGAAUUUCAGGUGUAGCGGUGAAAUGCGUAGAGAUCUGA